CAGGACAGUCCGUGAAAGAGUGAAAGAAUGAAAGAGAGGCUGAAGAUCCUACACUGCUGGCUUUGAAGUUAAAGGAAAAAGCCAUGAGCCAGAGAAUGAAGGCAGCAUCUAGAAGCUGGAAAAGGCAAGGAAACAUAUUCUCCCCUAGAGCCUCCAGAAAGAACAGAGCCAUGCUGACAGUUUGAUUUUAACCCAAUGAGACCAUGUCGGACUUCUAAUCCACCGAACUCAAAACCUACCCUCAGGAAAAGGUCUGAAACUCAUUCACACUGAAGACGCAAAGGACUGAUAACAGCUCAAUGUGAAAGCCUGGUGUGGGAGCCCUGCCCCUGGUUUCUGUGCCAGGUAUGCUAAUGUAACCUCCCUAAGUCAGUUUCCACAUGCAUAAAAUUAAAGUAGUUGAAUUAAUGUUUCUUAAAAUCCAUUCCAUUCCAGCCAGGUUAUUGCCUUUAGGAACCUUUGCACCUUUAUGCAUCAUUCAUUCACUGUUUUAUGUAGCAUCUGAGAUAAGGAAUACUGUAAUUUCAAUACUUAUUCAUUAAACUUACUCUGUGCCA